rnacentral:rRNA from 1 species
UACGUAGGUGGCAAGCGUUACUCGGAAUCACUAGGCGUAAAGCGCGGGUAGGCGGUUGGGUAAGUCUCUUGUGAAAGCUCCUGGCUCAACUGGGAGAGGUCAAGGGAAACUACCUGGCUAGAGUGUGGUAGAGGAAGCUGGAAUUCCUGGUGUAGCGGUGAAAUGCGUAGAUAUCAGGAGGAACACCUAUGGCGAAAGCAGGCUUCUGGACCGUCACUGACGCUGAUCCGCGAAAGCUAGGGGAGCAAACAGG